GAGACAUUUGUACAAUAUGUUAGAUUACCCACCCUUAACGCUGGAUUCUUCUAUGCAAAAACUUGCAAAUAUUUCUGAAACGCAAGUUAAUUUUAAAACUUGGCAACGCCGACAACAAACAGUUUAUUGUUGGUGAUGGACGGAGUUGAUAGUACUGGAACUGGGUACCAAUUGGACUGGAAAUAAAUGGACAAGGACAAAAGUGUCGAACCUAAAUAUAUC